rfam:Desulfonispora thiosulfatigenes DSM 11270 genome assembly, contig: Dest_Contig00014
UCCACCGUGAGGUGGAAUCUGAAGGAAGUCGGAGGCAAAGUUCUGGUUUGAGGUACACGAACUACAUUAGAGGCUUGACCCUAUGGAUGAGGUUGCAUAACAAGCCAAAAUCCUGAAUUAUCCGAAAUAGGGAAAGUAUAUGUAGCAGAUACAUGGAAUGAAAGUUUACGCU